UACGGGGGGGGCAAGCGUUGUUCGGAAUUACUGGGCGUAAAGGGUUCGUAGGUGGCCAACUAAGUCAGACGUGAAAUCCCUCAGCUUAGCUGGGGAACUGCGUCUGAUACUGGUUGGCUUGAGUGCAGGAGAGGAACGCGGAAUUCCAGGUGUAGCGGUGAAAUGCGUAGAUAUCUGGAGGAACACCGGUGGCGAAGGCGGCGUUCUGGACUGCAACUGACACUGAGGAACGAAAGCCAGGGGAGCAAACGGG
rnacentral:rRNA from 1 species